UGAUUUGAAGACACAAAAUUUUUAGCGAUAUAUUGCGAUGAUUUAAAAUACAAUUCAAUAUUUUUUAAAUUAAUAAUGGAUAAUCGUUGAAACAUUAUACCGGUUCCGGAAAAUAAAUCGUCAAUUGUAUCCAAACACCAAUGGCGUAAACUUAUAAACUUCAAAACUUGUCUGUCACUCAGAUACCAAAAUGGGUGAUACAAGGAAUGUCUUUGGCUUUGAACUUGUACAAGAAAUAUAUAAUAGCCAGAUUACAAAAAAGGAGGAUGUUUUAAUAUUAUUCGUUCAUUGGUAUCUUAUAAAAUAUGGAUUCAGAUGUAUUGGAAUCGGCGAUUCUAAAGCGUUUGAACCAACAGAAAAAGGAUCGCAGUUACUUCCAGAAGGAUGGAACACACGUCCAAAUUAUGCAUUACGUUAUAUAAAGGACAGCAAAUUGUUCAUAUUCCAUGGUAUAAAGUCUGACGAAGAUUUACUUAUAAAUUUGUUGAAAGUUGAUGAUCAAAAUGUGUCCAAUGUUCAAUUUCCAAUUAAUCAGACUGUAAAUGAACUUCAUGGAGAUUUAGAAUCUGUAAUACCUUCAUAUCAAAAUGUUAUAAAUGUAAUUCAGGAAGAUCUUAUACACGCAUUGAUUCCUGGCAAUAUGGUCGGAAAUUCUACUCAAACAAGCUUUACAAAUGAUCAAUCAAGAGACAAUCCAUUAAGGGUAGGAGAGUCGACACGUCCGUCGUCUGCAUCAUAUCCAUGGAACCGUGAUGCUGAUCCUUUAAGGGUAGGCGCCGCAGAUUUAAAUCCAUUUUCCCAGGGUAGUGGUAUGAUUUUUGAUCCAUUUUCAUCAGAAUAUAAUCGUAUGAACCCAUCUAGACCUGGUUUAGGAGUUCCUGGUAGACUACCGCCAGGUGCAGUACCACCAUUUGCAAAAUUUGAUCCUUUUGGCCCGCCAGACAUUAAUCAACCAAGACCACGUCGUGACCCAGACAACGACCAUUUACCCCCACCAGGAUACGACGACAUGUUUAUGUAAAACGACAGAACAAAAUAGGACAGAACAAUGGGUUCACAUGUAGACCUCAAGGAGGGUUGUUAAGGUGCAAAUUUCGCUGAAAAGUACCUAGCAGAUUCUAGGGUAUUUGGGCGUGUCUCUCUAUUUGUGUUGAGCCUGGCAGUAUUCUGCACUAUCCAGCUGAAACUCCAUGUAUGUGAGGAUGCACUCACCAGGAAACUGUAACAUAAACACAAUUUUCAUAAUUAUGUUAUAUAUCAACAAUUAUAUUAUAAAUAAAUAUAUUUUUGAUUUUUCUA